AACUGAAGAGUUUGAUCAUGGCUCAGAUUGAACGCUGGCGGCAGGCUUAACACAUGCAAGUCGAGCGGGGGAAGGUAGCUUGCUACCGGACCUAGCGGCGGACGGGUGAGUAAUGCUUAGGAAUCUGCCUAUUAGUGGGGGACAACAUCUCGAAAGGGAUGCUAAUACCGCAUACGUCCUACGGGAGAAAGCAGGGGAUCUUCGGACCUUGCGCUAAUAGAUGAGCCUAAGUCGGAUUAGCUAGUUGGUGGGGUAAAG
rnacentral:rRNA from 1 species